AAAACAACCACAUAUACUGUAUUUAACCUGUUUUAAAAUGUUAAAAUACUGAUACUUUACCGUUAGCUGAGACAGAAAGGUGCGGAAAACCUUUGUAAAAUACUAAUAAAUCGAUUUUGAGAGUCGAACACUAAGGUAAACAGUUAACGUUAUUCCAGUCUGAACAUGUUUGAGGAUUUAACGCCAAAAAUUACUAGUCUAGAAGAAAGACAAUGAGAGCAGACAGUUAAUAAGAGACAUUUAUAGGAAUUUUAUACAGUAAAACAUCCCCAUAUACUGUAUUUAACCUGUUUUAAUGUCAAAUACUGCCUUCUCAGUACGUUACCACUGAUACUUUCCCUUUAACUGACACAGAAACAUGCACAAACCGUUUAAAAAAAUACUCAUAAAUCGAUAUUGUCCAAAUUAAUCUCUGUUUGAGGAUAUAACGCCAAGCUAACAGUCAUAACUAGACUGGAAGAAAGCCAGGUGGUUAAUAAAAGUCAUUUCUAUGCAUUUUACACAGCAAAACAACCACAUAUACCGUAUUUAACCUGUUUUAAAAUGUUAAAAUACUGAUACAUUCCCUUUAGCCGAGACAGAAACUUGCCGAAAACCUUUGUAAAAUACUAAUAAAUCGAUUUUGAGAGUCGAACACAAAGGUAAACAGUUACUCCAAUCCUAGUGACUAGUCUAGAAGAAAGACCAGGAGAACAUAUGGGUAAUAAGAGACAUUUCUAGGAAUUUUAUACAGUAAAACAUCUACAUAUACUGUUUUUACUGCUUUCUCAGUACGUUACGACUGAUACUUUCCCUUUAACUGAAACAGAAAGGUGCACAAAACGUCCAGAAAACGCUGAUACAUCCAUUUCGGCGAAGUUAAUCCAGAUUCUAAACUUGUUUGAGGAUAUAACGCAAAGUUUAAAGUCUGCUAAUUGUCUUCAGACAUCAGGAAGCAGCACUUCAAAGCAGGUACAGAGAAACGCUGCCGGUAUGCUGGAUUAGAUAGCCGCACCUGUCUCGCGCUGUAAUCAGGUAAAUAGGUAUUUAGCCCCGCCCAGCAGAGAGUCCGUCUGUGCAAAGAGGACAACAGUUUUUUGUUGUAGCUGACAUGCUGCUUCUUUCAACAUCAAUGCUGUAAUACAGACGUUUUUUUUUUAUCCUGCUGUUGUUGGAGUAACUGUGUGUCUGUCUCUACCCUGCAGGAAAGCCUUUCUUAGCCAAUCAGCUUUUGAGACACCAGUGCUGUGAGGAUUUGAUUGCAUUUAGCAAUAAAAGCAUUAAUGACUGCA
rnacentral:lncRNA from 1 species